GUUAUUGUUUUCUAGGGUUCCGUGAUCAUUGAUCAGACUGGUCCGAGAGAAAACCCACUACGGCAAAAAUGUAGUGUAACACGGAGGGAUAAAAGCCCGGGAGAG
rnacentral:sRNA from 2 species